rnacentral:lncRNA from 12 species
CCGGGCUGUGGGCUGGGGGCAGGGGCUGCCUGCAGCAGGCUCUGUCGGUGAGCAGCGCUCCUGCCAAGCGCCACGGCCAGCAGGGAAUAGGUCAUUCACGCUUCAGCUGCAAUCCCAGUCGCAUUAUAUCACUUACAGCUAAUUAGCAGGCUCCAGGCACAAUGCAGCCAGACACUGUUUCUUGCAGAAACGGCAAACACGGAGCAGGAAUACACCGGGCUCGUGCAGUAACUACAGAGGGGAAAAAAGAGGAUGAGGCAAG